UAAACCGCCGCGGUCAUAUUCUGAAUUCUCCUCCUCCGCUCUGCCUUGUUCAGUUUGAAAUCGAGGUUUGGUUUAGAGAAUGAAUAAUAAGUUCGGAGCAGGGAAGCAGCCUACUGGCACUCCUUCACUGGGUUGGUCAUGCGUUGUUGUCAUCGUUUCACUUCUUACUGGCGCCUCUAUUGUCCAUAACAUCUAUAAACCCGACCUUAAAUUGCCUCCCAUUGAUAGCGUUGAUGCGGCUAAGAAGAAGCAAAUCCAAACUGGGAGAGAAUGAAUUUUGAGUGCAGGACACUUCUAAGCAAUUGUAUCUGAAUUUCAGGUUUGAAUGUUUGCUCGGGAGAUUUUAACCUCAUGCCGAAUCUGUGAUUUCGUUCAUUAAUAGCUGAGCAUCAGGAGAAAGUUUUAUUUUUUCUUUAGUUUUCAAUUGGAAUAAUUUCAUCCAACGCCAGUUAUUGUAGCUAGAUUAAAUUCCAUACAAUAGAAAUGUUGACCUUUUCCCCUGAAUUUUAUAAAUUAUUGUGAUUGAAGCUUUGCUCAA